GACGAACGCUGGCGGCGUGCCUAACACAUGCAAGUCGUGCGAGAAAGUUCCUUCGGGAGCGAGUAAAGCGGCGCACGGGUGAGUAACACGUAGGUAACCUGCCCCCCAGUCUGGAACAACUAGAGGAAACUCUAGCUAAUGCCGGAUGAGACCACGAUCCCUUCGGGGGUUGCGGCCAAAGAUGGCCUCUACUUGUAAGCUAUCGCUGAGGGAUGGGCCUGCGGGCCAUUAGCUUGUUGGUGAGGUAACGGCUCACCAAGGCUGUGAUGGCUAGCUGGUCUGAGAGGAUGACCAGCCACACUGGGACUGAGACACGGCCCAGACUCCUACGGAGGCAGCAGUGGGGAAUAUUGCGCAAUGGGCGAAAGCCUGACGCAGCGACGCCGCGUGGGUGAUGAAGGCCUUC
rnacentral:rRNA from 1 species